AUGUCGAGCUUGGAAGUCUUGAAUUUAGCCCACAAUGAUCUCAAUGAGUUCAUACCAUCGUCUCUAACAAAGCUGACAUUUCUCUCCAAAUUUGAUGUCUCCUACAACAACCUCACUGGAGAUAUCCCAACAGGGGGCCAAUUUUCCACAUUCACAAAGGAGAGUUUCGUGGGCAAUGCUGCACUAUGCCUUGGUCGGAAUGGCCCCUGCUUCGGAAAGGCUACUUUUGAAGGAACAGAAAGUGAUGGCACUGAUACCGUAUCCAUAAUGCCCGCAAUGACAUACAUCACCGCAGAAGCGGGAUUCGCUUUCGGGCUUUUGACCGUCUGUAACAUACUGUUUUUCGCAAGGGCUUGGAGGGCCGCGUAUUUUCUGGCUGUUGAUAGGUUCUUUGAUAUGCUCCAUGUCAUAAUAAUGGUGAAGAUGAACAAGCUCAGAAGAAAAUGGGAAGAUAAAGAGCAUCCUUAG
rnacentral:rRNA from 1 species